GACGAACGCUGGCGGCGUGCUUAACACAUGCAAGUCGAACGAAGUGGCGAACGGGUGAGUAAUACGUGGGUAACCUACCCUCCUUAUUGGGAUAAGCCUUGGAAGCGGGGUCUAAUACCGAACAAAGGGGGAUGGGCUCGUGGCCUAUCCGCGUGUUGGUGGGGUGAUGGCCUACCAAGGCGGUGACGGGUAGCCGGCCUGAGAGGCUACCCGGCCACAGUGGCACGGAGAUACGUCCUAGACUACGAAGGGAGGUAGAAGUGGGGGAUAUUGCACAAUGGGCGAAAGACUGAUGCAGCGAGGCUGCGUGGGGGAUGAAGGCUUUAGGGUUGUAAACCUCUUUCGCUAUACAACGGGUAGGUGGAGAAGAAGCGCCGGCUAACUCCGUGCCAGCAGCCGCGGUAAUAC
rnacentral:rRNA from 1 species